rnacentral:rRNA from 1 species
GACGAACGCUGGCGGCGUGCUUAACACAUGCAAGUCGAACGGAAAGGCCCUGCUUUUGUGGGGUGCUCGAGUGGCGAACGGGUGAGUAACACGUGAGUAACCUGCCCUUGACUUUGGGAUAACUUCAGGAAACUGGGGCUAAUACCGGAUAGGAGCUCCUGCUGCAUGGUGGGGGUUGGAAAGUUUCGGCGGUUGGGGAUGGACUCGCGGCUUAUCAGCUUGUUGGUGGGUAGUGGCUUACCAAGGCUUUGACGGGUAGCCGGCCUGAGAGGGUGACCGGGCACAUGGGGACUAAGAGACGGCGCAGACGCCUACGGGAGGCAGUAGUCGGGAGUAUGGCACAGUGGGCGGGAGUCUGAGGCAGAGGCGCCGCGUGCGGGAUGCCGGCCUUUGGGUUGUAAACCGCUGUCGCCUGUGACGAAGCGGUAGUGACGGUACUGGGUAAAGAAGCACCGGCUAACUACGUG